CAAACGUAUUCCAGUUCCAGCGCCUGCGACUCCCUUCACACAAUUUAAUAAAGACGCAAAAUCGCACCUUCCAAGACCUUGUCGGCUUUUUCACCCGCUGCCGCUUUCAGUCUAGUGUUAGAACGCGAGCGACACCAAAAAUGUGGACCGGUGGCAGUCGAUACAUCUCCCCCAGGGCCUUUCCAGGAGAGACAAUCAAAACCAUCCACCAUAUGAAAGAAUGAAGGCACGGCUGAAUGUGUGUGGCAGUGAUUCCGAAGCCUCCUUACACUUUGAUCUUAGGGAGGGACUGGUCCCAGAAUAAGCCUGACUGGACUAUGCCAUGUACUGUUGGUUCCAGAAGCCCAGUCACAGAUGAAAGCCACCCAAUCCGAGGAGGAGUCCCAGCCAUGCAAGAGAGCAGGAGGAAAGCAUGGGAGUAAUGGGUGCUGAUUCUAUCUGAGUUGAGCCGUGCUGAAACAGGAUUGCAAUUAAAAAGGGAGUCAGCUUAUCCCAUUGGUCCAGGAGGUUCUUUAAGGAAAUUGGACGGACAUAAA